GUUGAAGCUGUUCAGUUGGAUUCACAGCGGCAAGAGGAACUUUGAAGUGAAACAUUCGUACGACGCUUCCUUUGAGAGUAAAGGACUUCGCACAAGACCAGGAUAUAGAUUUCUAUAGGGUCGCUUGAAAAUACGUAUGAGGGGAGAAGGCACAAAGCGUUUAGUAAUUACGGAGGCGGCACCAGAUGAUCCGAUGGCGGGAAUCUUUCUGAAUGACUCGAGAGGGAAUUCAGGGAGACAGUGGAUGAGCUCAGGUUUGGUUUGGAUGAGUUAUAUAUGCAAAACGUGGCAUUGCGUGUGAGUUGACGUCAAACAUUGUCCUUAGGGUAGGUAGUCUCAAAUUGAAUUCAAUUACAUGUGAAUUUGACAGGUGACAGGUGCUUGUGAAAUAUUGCCAAGGAAAAUAUCUAUUUCGACGGGAUAAAACUUUUGCAGAGUUCAGUCUGCUUCAGGAAAGUAACUGCGAUAUAUCUGUAUAGAUAUACAUGGAAGUGAAAAAGUAUCCCGUUAAUAAUAAUUAACUUCGGGAGAACGAUGAGGUGGAACUGUAAUUUAAUAUAGUGGGGAACAAGAGAGGACGUACACGUUCCCUCCAGUUUCCUCAGAAGUAAUCCAUCAAUUACUCGUGACGCAGCAAGUUGAAAUCUCGCGCCAUCGCCACCGAAAGGAAAAUUGCUUCAGUAACGAAGCAUCGACCGUUGCUAGUGUAACUAGUCAACGAUCUACGGCUAAUAUUCUACGUGCUGGUAUUGAGCACAGGAUUUCAUAGACUUUCAAUACUACGCAACCCGCCUGUAGUUCAGGUCAGUUCAGAGAUAUAAGCUGGUGCAAUUGGAGCGUUGGAAUUAAACAAGUAAAUAUUAGUGAUCGAUGCGAAUUUAUUGAGUCCAUCUGCAAAGUGAGAACUGCCAACCAUUAUUCUAAGUACUUGAUUCCGUUCGAACAGAGAUGCAUGAAGUCUGCACUCUAUCAUUAUAAGAGUUCGAUAGUUCAGAUCCGAUCGACGUGGGAGGAGCCAUCGCAUGAGUGCCAGUGAGUGAUUGGCUGUGGUAUGAGAGAUGGGAUUAUUGUAUAGUAAGAUCAAUCAAUAUCGAAUGCUCAAUCGGUCAUUAAACUUUUGUCACAAUGACGAAGUGUCAGUGUAUUUAUUUUAUGAUGUAUCUACAUAAUUAAAUAAUCAAGAUUUGUUUUUCUCUUGGUAUGGUAACGAGGAGUUUAAUUAUAUUAAUAAGGGCGUAAAUUUUCAUUAACUUUACUUUUCGUUAAAUCUGGCAGGUUUAUUGUAUCCGCUAGCGAUAUUGUGCAUUUAGGAAAUAAUUUUCUUUCGGGCCAACAAUUUUUUGCAGAUAAUUAAUCAAACGGACUUUUAUUAUUAAUGAUGUAUCCGCUGACAUUGUCAUGCCAAACGGUUAAAUUAAUCUGAGAAUUUUAGCGGGCUCUGUGGUACCUUCCUAUAUGAUUGAUAUUUCACCUGCAAUUA